CAGUCUUUACUGAUGUCUGUGAAAAACACACCUGCCAGAAGAGAUAAACGAAAACAAUCACAUAAGAAGAGGUGCUUUGAGAUCCUGGGAGGGUGAUAUGAUUUGGCUCUGCAUCCCCACCCAAAGCUCACCUUAAUUCUAAUAAUCCCCACAUGUCAAGGGCAGGACUCAGUGGGAGGUAUUUGAAUUAUGUGGGAGGUGUCCCUUGCUAUUCUCAUAAUAGUGAAUGAGAUCUGAUGGUUUUAUAAGCUUCUGGCAGUUCCCCUGUUGGCACUCACUCUCUCUCCAGUACUCUGUGAAGAGGUGCCUUCUCCAUGAUUCUGCUCUGUGAAGAGGUGCUUUCUCCAUGAUUGCAAGUUUCCUCAUUCUCUCUCCAGCCACUCUGUGAAGAGGUGCUUUCUCCAUGAUUGCAAGUUUCCUCAUUCUCUCUCCAGCCAUUCUGUGAAGAGGUACCUUCUCCAUGAUUCAUUCCACCACAGGAUGACGCAGCAAGAAGGCACCCUCACAAAUGUGGCCCCUCAAUCUUACAUUCAGCCUCCAGACCGUGAGCCAAAUAAAUUUCUG
rnacentral:lncRNA from 1 species